UACGUAGGGCGCAAGCGUUGUCCGGAAUUAUUGGGCGUAAAGAGCUCGUAGGCGGUCUGUCGCGUCUGUUGUGAAAACUCGAGGCUCAACCUCGGGCUUGCAGUGGAUACGGGCAGACUAGAGUGCGGUAGGGGAGACUGGAAUUCCUGGUGUAGCGGUGGAAUGCGCAGAUAUCGGGGAGGAACACCAGCGGCGAAGGCGGCACUCUGGUACGUGACUGACGCUGAGACGCGAAAGCGUGGGGAGCGAACGAGG
rnacentral:rRNA from 1 species